rnacentral:lncRNA from 1 species
UAUAUAUAUAUAUAUAUAUAUAUAUAUAUAUAGAGAGAGAGAGAGAGAGAGAGAGAGAGAGAGAGAGAGAGAGAGAGAGAGAGAGAGUUGAGCUAUGAUACUUUUACAAGUAUCACCAUCAUGGUGCUAUUAGGUUUUAAGCCAUUGGAUCUACUUUUUGAUUAUUAAUAGCCCUUGGAUUAAACACUAUUCCCCCUACCACCACCUACCACCACCUACCACUAUCAUCUCAACCUCACAUCUCUCCAUCCAAGGGCUAAAAACACACAAGUAUCACUUGGGUGAUACUUUUACAAGUAUUCUAGCCCUACUCUAUAUAUAUAUAUAUAUAUAUAUAUAUAUAUAGUAGGGUUACUAUACUCUUACGAGUAUUGGACCCUUACCCUUGGUACUCAUAAAUUGUUUUUGAUGAUGGGUUUCCGAAUCGACGAUCCACUUCAUUAAAUAUGAUCUAGAAUAUUUGAAACUUCUAAAAAAUAAAUUUCAUAAUUUUUCGAAAUCAUAAUAAAGUCCAUCAAGCGGGCAUAAAAUGAACUAUCAAAAUCGAACAACGUCCUAAAAAUAGAUGAUCGGAUCCUUCAAUUUAAGAUCGGAAUUAUUGACCUUUAUCUAGGUAGUGAAUAGAAUUUUCUAUCAAAAAUUCAACCUAUUUCAAUUCUUUUACACCGUUAAACUAGCAAGUAUCCUAUACCGGUCGUUAAAAAUUGUCAAUUUUGUGAGCUUUUAAUCGUAAGGUAAAUGAUGUCGAAAAAUUAUAAAAUUUGAUUUCUAGAAAUUUUAAAUGCUUUAGAUAAUGUUUAACGGUAUGGAUCGUCAAUUCGAAAACUCUAUCAUCGAAAACAACUUAUGUACUCAUAAGAGUAUAGUUGCCGGACUAUAUAUAUAUAUAUAUAUAUAU